GAUGAACGCUGACAGAAUGCUUAACACAUGCAAGUCAACUUGAACUUCGGUUUGGGUGGCGGACGGGUGAGUAACGCGUAAAGAACUUGCCUCACAGAUAGGGACAACAUUUGGAAACGAAUGCUAAUACCUGAUAUUAUGAUUUUAGGGCAUCCUAGGAUUAUGAAAGCUAUAUGCGCUGUGAGAGAGCUUUGCGUCCCAUUAGCUAGUUGGAGAGGUAACGGCUCACCAAGGCGAUGAUGGGUAGCCGGCCUGAGAGGGUGAUCGGCCACAAGGGGACUGAGACACGGCCCUUACUCCUACGGGAGGCAGCAGUGGGGAAUAUUGGACAAUGGACCAAGAGUCUGAUCCAGCAAUUCUGUGUGCACGAUGAAGUUUUUCGGAAUGUAAAGUGCUUUCAGUUGGGAAGAAAAAAAUGACGGUACCAACGGAAGAAGUGACGGCUAAAUACGUG
rnacentral:rRNA from 1 species